rnacentral:rRNA from 1 species
GACGAACGCUGGCGGCGUGCUUAACACAUGCAAGUCGAACGGUAAGGCCCCUUCGGGGUUACACGAGUGGCGGACGAGUGGGUAACACGUGAGCAACCUGCCCUUGACUUUGUGAUACCAGCUGGAAACAGCCGCGAAUACCGGAUAUGACCUCUCCUCUCAUGGGUUGAGGUGGAAAGCUGCGUCGGUCAGGGAUGGACUCGCGGCCUAUCAGCUUGUUGGUGGGGUAAUGGCUCACCAAGGCUUCGACGGGUAGCCGGCCUGAGUGGGCGACCGGCCACACUGGGACUGAGAUACGGCCCAGACUCCUACGGGAGGCAGCAGUGGGGAAUAUUGCACAAUGGGCGGAAGCCUGAUGCAGCAACGCCGCGUGCGGGAUGACGGCCUUCGGGUUGUAAACCGCUUUCAGUAGGGACGAAGCUAACGUGACGGUAACUAGAGAAGAAGGACCGGCUAACUACGUG